AUCAGCUUCACCUCAUCCCACCCCAUCUCAGAAAGUACUGAAAUACCUCCAGCAUGGCACAAGUGUUAAGCUCAGUAAGAAUUGUUUUGGCCCAGGGAAACCUUUGAAAAUCAGUCUUUGCUAAUGCUUUGCCCUGGCAGCAACCAGCAGCAGUUAAGAUGGUCAUAAAAUAAGCAGCACAGCAGGGGUAUGUGUUUUGUCUUGUGGAAAAACACAGGAGGGAAAGCGGGGCUUUAUCACCACCGAGUAUUGGUGUGUUCCUGUAAUGCAGCAAUGACUGUGAAAUAUAUUGUGCUGGAACAUAAGAAAGGAUAUUUCUGUUCAAUGCUGUGCUGCCAUAUAAAGCUGAUUUAUGUCCUUUUGAAGAUACAAAAGAGUCUGCUGUAUUGCUCUUUGCACAGAGUAAUGUUGUUGUGCUUCUGAAAAAUUUGCAUUAGCAACUAAUGCCUUAUUCAUUUCCUUUUUUAGUAAGAAGGAUACUGUUCAGAAACAGGGUUCACUAUAUCAGGUUCCUAUGGUCCGAGCUCUAUAUUCAUCCCCUUGUCAAGAUUUUACCAAGUAAAGUGUCUUCACCCUCUUGAUUCUCCCAUUAUUGAGAUGGGUUUCGCUCGCAGCUAACCCAUUUUUUCCUGUGUUACGUCACAAAGAGAUGACCUGCUUUUUCUCUAACAAUUUAGUUCCAGUAGAAGUGAAAUGCUAGUGGCUUCACGGGAGGGAACUCAUCGCUGACAGUGGUUGGCAGAGAGAGCCGUGCCUGCUCCAUAGAUAGGUUCAAACGUUCCUUUUAUUGAAUAAUUUAAAAAACAACAAUGAAGAAAUUAGGCUUGGAUAACAUCCAGACUGUGUAAUUAUAAGGUUUCUGUCUUUAAAUCUGAAUUAUCACAGACACUGCAAGUGAUGUUUUAUAACAGUAUCAAAGUCGAUUAUCUGAUUGCUAGUUAGCCCUGUUCUUCCUUCCACCAAGCAGCACCAGCUUGCAUGGCACUCAUAAUCAACCCCAAGCCAAACUGGUCCCAACACUAAGUAACUGUACACGCUCUGCUGCUUUUACACACCUUGCUGGGCUCUGCUUCCAUAACAUUAAGCUUAAAGCUUGAAGGAACAGAGGGAUGGAUGUGAUUCCUGGCUUAGUUCAUCAGUGGCUGUACAAUGCUGCAUCAAUAAAGAUACGAAAGAGCAUAAACCUGCAGGAAAUAUUUAGGAAACCAUUGAAAAGGGAACUGCUAGUCAUAAAAUAUUCACAUUUCUUUCUGCCUUUCAAUUAAAAAAAAAAAAAAAAAAAAAAAAAAAAAAAAAAGGAAAAAGCAGAUGGGAAAAAAAAAUAGAGCAUACUAUUACCCAUUAGUCCAGGGAGCAUAAAUAGGAAUAAGGAUAAUUUUUUAAAAGGGAUUCUUAGGCUGAAUUCUGAAGAAUUUCUUGGACAAUUAGAUUUGCCAAGCUGUAGUCUAUACAGACAAGUCAAGUGGUAUCAAUCACAAGAUCCAUUUUAUACUAGAAUGGAAAAAGUAAUAGAAAUGCUAUAGCAAGCAAUCACACCUUCCUAGGGAAGGGACCACAUGGGCAAGCAGCGGUAUUCCUUCUCUUCUUCUCUGUACAUAGAUGCUCCCUCAGGAGGCCUGGGUUUUCCUUCAGCUCUGCCACUUCACACUGGUCACUUUACCCCUCAGCACUUCAACUUCUUCACCCGUAAAACAAUGAAGAUGCUGUGUCAUUGCCAUGGAGUGCUUCCAGGCAUGCAGAAGGGAGCCUGGAUCAGUGUCUGUUAGCACUAACCCUGGGCCAUCCUGCACACAUCAGGGCCACCAA